rnacentral:lncRNA from 9 species
GUGAGAAGUGGUUUUUUUGUUUCUCCAAACCAGCAAGGAGAUUUCUAAGCUUAAUUAGCUUUAUUUGCUGACAUUGGGUCCAGUGCCUCUGCAGCCCUCAUAAUUGUCAGUAAAAUACAAGGUUCUAUUGGCCCCUUUUAAUGAGGCAACUUCACACUCUAUUUUCUAAACAGUAGGUCAAAGGAAAUCUCUUCUCUUCCCCCCACCCCAUAAAUUUGUGGAUGGCAGGAAAUUGGAUGGUUUGUUGAGCACUUGACUGAGACCUUGCCUGGACAGCCUACUUUGUUCUUGGAAACACUCACUUUCUCUGGGGCAUCACAUUGCCUUCCUCUACUCUACUCCUUUGAAGUGUGCAAUGGAAAUUUUAUGGAUGAGUGUUGGGCUGCACCCCACAGGCCUGCAAGCCCUAUACUUGCCCAUCCUUGAAGCUGAAGAAAGAGCCUGAACUCAGCCACAGAGAGAGACCUCAAUGGUUUAAUGGAUGUGGGAGCUUACAUGUCCCAAGCAACGUCCUGGAGCAAGAGGUCAGCUUUACCCAUCAGUCCAUCCUGCCUCCAGGUUUUCAGGGCAGUAGCUCCAAGGUAUUUGGACCAAAUCUGAAAAACACAUGAUCUAACAACUGCAGGGGAAACUAUAGCUGAGGAAACCCCACUGGAUGAUCUGAUCAGGAUUGCUGUUAAGUCUUUGACCCACAGGUAUAUUUUAACAAACUUCCAGUCACAAAGGAGAACAAUGGUAGAAGAUGACACCAUGAAAUUCUCCCAUCAGAUCCUCAUUCCCACAGGAAGUCUCUGGUUUCCCUGAAUGGGACUUGGAUCACCACAGGGGACCCAGACAACACUGUAGAUGAGGCCAGAUGUCCCUUAAAUGGCUGCAACAGAAAUAAUCUAAGCAAAAUCAAGAGCAAAGACUAGAAAAAUCAUGUAACAGGUCUGAUGCAAGGGGUGAUUGUGACAACAAAGGGCAGGUAGCCAUGCUGAGCAUGUCAAAAAAGUUCUGGAACCAACAGUCAAAGAGAAAAUAGAGACUGAAGCAUGGUUUCCUUCCUCAAAAGUGACCCAUGG